ACAGAUGAAGGUGAUUAUCAAACCAAGCUGCGUAACCUGAGACGAUUCCUGGAACAGGGAAACAAGGCCAAGGUAACCCUCUGGUUUCGGGGGCGAGAGAUGGCGCAUCAGAAUCUGGGCAUGCAGCUUCUCAAGCGCAUAGAAGCGGACCUGGAAGAGCUUGGCAGUGUCGAACAAUUCCCCAAGCUGGAGGGGCGGCGUCUGUCCAUGGUGCUGUCUCCGAAAAAAUAAACUUAUUCCGUUGCUUUGAUAAACGUCGCUGCCAGGUUGUAUCUCCCAAAAAUACAACGGAUGUUGCUGCGAGUGUUGUA
rnacentral:misc_RNA from 1 species